CAAUGGGCGCAAGCCUGAUCCAGCCAUGCCGCGUGCAGGAAGACUGCCCUAUGGGUUGUAAACUGCUUUUAUACAGGAAGAAACCGCUCUACGUGUAGAGCUCUGACGGUACUGUAAGAAUAAGGAUCGGCUAACUCCGUGCCAGCAGCCGCGGUAAUACGGAGGAUCCAAGCGUUAUCCGGAAUCAUUGGGUUUAAAGGGUCCGUAGGUGGAUAAUUAAGUCAGAGGUGAAAGUCUGCAGCUCAACUGUAGAAUUGCCUUUGAUACUGGUUAUCUUGAGUUAUUAUGAAGUAGUUAGAAUAUGUAGUGUAGCGGUGAAAUGCAUAGAUAUUACAUAGAAUACCAAUUGCGAAGGCAGAUUACUAAUAAUAUACUGACACUGAUGGACGAAAGCGUGGGGAGCGAACAGGAUUAGAUACCCUGGUAGUCCACGCCGUAAACGAUGGUUACUAGCUGUUCGGACUUCGGUCUGAGUGGCUAAGCGAAAGUGAUAAGUAACCCACCUGGGGAGUACGUUCGCAAGAAUGAAAC
rnacentral:rRNA from 1 species